rnacentral:tRNA from 1 species
GGCACCCGUAGCUCAGCUGGAUAGAGCGCUGCCCUCCGAAGGCGGAUGUCAAGUCUGGCGAAGAUUGAAGGUGCCG